rnacentral:rRNA from 1 species
UACGUAGGGGCAAGCGUUGUCCGGAUUAUUGGGCGUAAAGAGCGUGUAGGCGGCUAGGUAGGUCCGUUGUGAAACUCGGAGGCUCAACCUCGAGACGUCGAUGGAAACCAUCUAGCUAGAGUCCGGAAGAGGGAGAGUGGAAUUCCUGGUGGUAGCGGUGAAAUGCGCAGAGUAUCAGGAGGAACACCAACGGCGAAGGCGGCGUCCCUGGACCGCAACACUGACACUGAGGAGCGAAAGCCAGGGGAGCAAAACGGGAUU